rnacentral:rRNA from 1 species
CCUACGGGAGGCUGCAGUGGGGAAUAUUUGGCAAUGGGCGAAAGCCUGACGCAGCGACGCCGCGUGAGGGAUGAAGGUCUUCGGAUCGUAAACCUCUGUCAGCAGGGAAAAACGGUCACUGUGCUAAUCAGCUGUGCAUUUACGGUACCUGCAAAGGCCGCACCGGCUAACUCCGUGCCAGCAGCCGCGGUAAUACGGCGGGUGCGGGCGGUAAUCGGUUUUACUGGGUGUAAAGCGCUCGUAGGCGGUAUGUCAAGUCAAGGGUGAAAUGUCCGGGCUCAACCUGGGCACUGCAGUGGAAACUGGCAAGCUGGAGUGUGCGGAAGGAUGGUGGAAUUCGAGGUGUAGCAGUGAAAUGCGUAGAUAUGAGGAGGAACAGCGGUUGCGAAGGCGGCUAGCUGGAGCAGAACUGACGCUGAGGAGCGAAAGCGUGGGUAGCGAACAGGAUUAGAUACCCGUGUAGUC